GGGCACUUGGUCUAGGGGUAUGAUUGUAAGCCGCUCCCACACCACCACACUCCACAACACUCUCUAACAACGCACAGUUCGCUUCGCAUUUAAAACCGCUUUUGUGAAAGGUCGUGGGUUCAAUUCCCACAGUGUCCA